rnacentral:rRNA from 1 species
CAAAAACAUCAAAAACAUAGCCAAAUGUCAUUAUAUUUGGUGCUUUYUGCUCAAUGAUAUAAUUUAAUAGCCGCAGUACCUUGACUGUGCAAAGGUAGCAUAAUCAAUUGGCUUAUAAUUGAAGUYUGGAAUGAAAGGACAUACGGGUAAUUACUGUAUYUGAUACUUAUGUUGAAAUUGGUUUUCAAGUGCAAAUACUUGUAGUUAAUCGUUAGACGAGAAGACCCUARAAAUUUGUGCAAAAUGUUUAGUUGGGGCAACGUGGUAAGAGAUAACUUACAAUAAAGGACACGGAAAUAAUUUGAAAGAUAAAAUUACUCUAGGGAUAACAGCAUAAUUUAUUAAAGUUUGUGACCUCRAUGUUGGAUUUGGGAAUUAUAGUCCARAARAUUUUUAAUUCUGCUCUGUUCRAGCAUGARAC